rnacentral:rRNA from 1 species
AUUGAACGCUGGCGGCAUGCCUUACACAUGCAAGUCGAACGGCAGCACGGGAGCAAUCCUGGUGGCGAGUGGCGAACGGGUGAGUAAUACAUCGGAACGUGCCCAGUAGUGGGGGAUAACCCGGCGAAAGCCGGACUAAUACCGCAUACGACCUACGGGUGAAAGCGGGGGAUCGCAAGACCUCGCGCUAUCGGAGCGGCCGAUGUCAGAUUAGCUAGUUGGUGGGGUAAAGGCCUACCAAGGCGACGAUCUGUAGCUGGUCUGAGAGGACGACCAGCCACACUGGGACUGAGACACGGCCCAGACUCCUACGGGAGGCAGCAGUGGGGAAUUUUGGACAAUGGGCGCAAGCCUGAUCCAGCCAUGCCGCGUGAGGGAAGAAGGCCUUCGGGUUGUAAACCGCUUUUGUCAGGGAAGAGACGCUCCGGGCUAAUACCACGGAGUAAUGACGGUACCUGAAGAAUAAGCACCGGCUAACUACGUG